UCCGGUUUGUCACCGGCAGUCUCGCAUGAGUCCCCAACUAAAUGCUGGCAACAUGCGACGGGGGUUGCGCUCGUUGCGGGACUUAACCCAACAUCUCACGACACGAGCUGACGACAACCAUGCACCACCUGUGUACGACCCUUACGGACCCACCAUCUCUGGAGGAUUUCCGUGCAUGUCAAGCCUAGGUAAGGUUCUUCGCGUUGCAUCGAAUUAAGCAACAUGCUCCGCCGCUUGUGCGGGCCCCCGUCAAUUCCUUUGAGUUUUAGCCUUGCGACCGUACUCCCCAGGCGGCGAACUUAACGCGUUAGCUUCGAUACUGAGAGCCAAAUUGCUCCCAACAUCCAGUUCGCAUCGUUUACGGCUAGGACUAC
rnacentral:misc_RNA from 1 species